rnacentral:rRNA from 1 species
GCUAAUAAUGGCAGUCGAGCGAGCUUGCCUAGAGGAUUUUAGUGCUUGCACUAAAUGAAACUAGAUACAAGCGAGCGGCGGACGGGUGAGUAACACGUGGGUAACCUGCCCAAGAGACUGGGAUAACACCUGGAAACAGAUGCUAAUACCGGAUAACAACACUAGACGCAUGUCUAGAGUUUGAAAGAUGGUUCUGCUAUCACUCUUGGAUGGACCUGCGGUGCAUUAGCUAGUUGGUAAGGUAACGGCUUACCAAGGCAAUGAUGCAUAGCCGAGUUGAGAGACUGAUCGGCCACAUUGGGACUGAGACACGGCCCAAACUCCUACGGGAGGCAGCAGUAGGGAAUCUUCCACAAUGGACGAAAGUCUGAUGGAGCAACGCCGCGUGAGUGAAGAAGGGUUUCGGCUCGUAAAGCUCUGUUGGUAGUGAAGAAAGAUAGAGGUAGUAACUGGCCCUUAUUUGACGGUAAUUACUUAGAAAGUCACGGCUAACUACGUGCCAGCAGCCGCGGUAAUACGUAGGUGGCAAGCGUUGUCCGGAUUUAUUGGGCGUAAAGCGAGUGCAGGCGGUUCAAUAAGUCUGAUGUGAAAGCCUUCGGCUCAACCGGAGAAUUGCAUCAGAAACUGUUGAACUUGAGUGCAGAAGAGGAGAGUGGAACUCCAUGUGUAGCGGUGGAAUGCGUAGAUAUAUGGAAGAACACCAGUGGCGAAGGCGGCUCUCUGGUCUGCAACUGACGCUGAGGCCCGAAA